AUGGCCUUUUUCCCCCUCAGUCUUCUUUUCUCCCUGACUUUGCUGUGGCCUGACAUAGUUGAUCACUCUCUUCUGACUAGGAUUCUCUCCUGGUUCUCCUCCUAUAUCUCUGACCGCUUCUUCUUGGUCUCCUUUGCUCUCCUGUCUCAGGUCAAUAUCUGGAGGUCUGGCGGGGAUAAAGUGGUCCCAGCAGCUCAGCCCAGAAGCAGGAAGGGCCUCCUAAGUCCGGUCCGGCUCCAGCCCCCUGGCUGCCAGCCGGAGCCCUCCUCAGCCGCCCAGGCCAAUGGGAGCGCCAGCCCCGGCCCCACCCUCCAGCCGUGCCGGACCAGAACUUGGAGUGCAGGCUCUGCGCCUCCCGAGGAGCGGAGCGGCGCGGCGGACACUUCCUCCUUCUACCCAUUUCACAGCCCGGGAUUAUUACUGCGGAUGACGGCCAGGAAUUGGGCUCAUUUCCACUAGCCAGCCCCGGAGGGACGGCUCUGGUUUCAGAAGGGAAAGCGGCCUCGGGGACUUGCCCAGGUGACGGGGCAGCGGCAGGCCUGGCCGGCGGCUCAGCCCUCCUUGGCGCGCUGACCGCGGCCCCUUCCUGGGGAGAGGAGGGGAAGUCUUCCGCCGACCCCGGAGGCCCCCCGGCGGCUUGGUCUGUGGCGCUCGGGGCGGCCUGGGCUGAGAGAGCAGGCAGCGGGCAGGACCCCCCCCCCCCCCCGGGCGUCCUACUCACCUCUCGUCGAGCGGGGAUCCUCCCCCGUCCUGUGCCCGAUGCCCGACCGACGACUGGCUGGCAGAGAGAGAGAGAGAGAGCCGGAGAGCGGCCGCCGGCCCCUCCCCUCUGACAGAGAGAGAGGAGCCCUGAAAAGUUGCAUUGAGGCCCAGCCCCGAGCUGAGCGGGCCAGGUGACCGCAGCCCCUCCCAGCCCCCACACAAAGAGAGACAUUGAGGCAGAGUCCCCCCAGCCGCCGGGGCUGCUUCCUGCCUUCCCCGGGGUCCAGGGCCGGGAAGGCUUUCCCCUCCCUCUGCGAAAUGCGGGCUGGGGCCACACCGGCUCUCACUGGCCUCUCCAUCCAGGUGGGCAAACAGGUGGUAAGGAGGAGCUUUUAUAAAAAAGCGGCCCCCUUCUCAAGCGUGGCGAGAGCCAGCAUCCCCCGGAGAGGAGGC
rnacentral:lncRNA from 1 species